GGGCCCUACUAUUGGGCAGAGUGAGCUGGCUGCCUCAGGUGGCAGAGUCUAGGAAGCAGCUGUGAGGGGUUGGAGACCAGAGGUGUCUGUGCCACACAAGGACUGAACCUUCGCCUCCUGCACUAGACUGCUGCUCUCAGGUGCAAUGGGAGAUUUAUUUAUUUAUUUAUCCAGUUUAUGUGCCUGCCUCCCUCCCAAAGGAGUCCAGGGUAGCAGGAUGAUGCCCUGUCACCGCCUCCAGCAGUGAUUCAACAGCCAGUCUAGUCAGCUUCUGAACAUGGGAAGGAUGUGGGACCAGGCAGCCCUACAAACAGAGGUCCUCUGCAAAGUAGAACAGAUGGCCACCCUACCUCAAGUGGCAAAAUACAUUAGGGCAGUCCUCUCCCCUAAGGAACACGCUCCUGGCUCUUCGCCAACCCCUGGGCUCAUCCAUUACAGAGGAGGCAAGCCACAUGUCUUGCGAGUCUGAGAUUUGGCUCAGACUUGUUUUCUCUCAAUGUUUUACCUUACAAAUGUAACUGUAGCCACAAGAUGAAGCCUGCCUUCAGAUUACUGCUGUGAACUGAGUAAGAGGGGAAAUAAAGGGGAAAUCGCCAGGAAGAAUCCCAGUCUGCACAAAGGCAUCCUGGAUUGCUUAAUUAAAAGACUGAAACCAUCAGCAGCUUCCUACAAGCUGCAAGGGAAUGUGCUCUGCUGUUUGCUCAUGCGCUGAGUGAGGAGGGAUCAUAUUUAAUCAAUAUAUCCUCUCCUACCUUCGUAAACAUUCCCACAUUAUUAAAAAAAUUUGGGGGGAGUUGUCUAUUUGGGGCGGGGUUGUUGUA